CCCAGCAUAGCUCAAUGGUAGAGCGGGUGGCUGUAGACCAUCAGGUUCCCGGUUCGAGUCCGGGUGCUGGGA
rnacentral:tRNA from 1 species